rnacentral:rRNA from 1 species
GGCCAGACUCCUACGGGAGGCAGCAGUGGGGAAUAUUGCACAAUGGGGGAAACCCUGAUGCAGCGACGCCGCGUGAGCGAUGAAGUAUUUCGGUAUGUAAAGCUCUAUCAGCAGGGAAGAAAAUGACGGUACCUGACUAAGAAGCCCCGGCUAACUACGUGCCAGCAGCCGCGGUAAUACGUAGGGGGCAAGCGUUAUCCGGAUUUACUGGGUGUAAAGGGAGCGCAGACGGCAGUGCAAGUCUGGAGUGAAAGCCUGUGGCUUAACCACGGGACUGCUCUGGAAACUGUGCAGCUAGAGUGCAGGAGAGGCAGGCGGAAUUCCUAGUGUAGCGGUGAAAUGCGUAGAUAUUAGGAGGAACACCGGUGGCGAAGGCGGCCUGCUGGACUGUAACUGACGUUGAGGCUCGAAAGCGUGGGGAGCAAACAGGAUUAGAUACCCUUGUAA